UACGUAGGGGGCAAGCGUUGCCCGGAAUCAUUGGGCGUAAAGCGCGCGUAGGCGGCCCGGUAAGUCCGUUGUGAAAGUCAAAGGCUCAACCUUUGAACGCCGAUGGAUACUGCCGGGCUAGAGUCCGGAAGAGGCGAGUGGAAUUCCUGGUGUAGCGGUGGAAUGCGCAGAUAUCAGGAGGAACACCAAUAGCGAAGGCAGCUCGCUGGGACGGUACUGACGCUGAGGCGCGAAAGCGUGGGGAGCGAACAGG
rnacentral:rRNA from 1 species